rnacentral:rRNA from 2 species
CGCGACCCCAGGUCAGGCGGGACUACCCGCUGAGUUUAAGCA